GCACUUUAAAAACAUUGAUAAGUUCUUCCCAACUCUUCUCCCACAUAUACAUCUAAAGCAUUAUAUUUUAAGCUUUGGAUAGUAAAGUUUUCUACCAAAUAUUUACAUUCCCACUGUAGACUCAGGGUUAUGCAAGUUACUGUGGACAUUGUUCAAGAAGUAUUAGACUGAUUCAUGCAUUUAAGGAAUUAUGGUUAAAAGGAACAGUCAAUAGAGAACAAUACAAUAUUACAUAUGUAAUUACUGUGCGUGCCAGAUUGUUUGGGGAAAAAGCAGGAAGAUUAAUGAGUAGGUGGGCAGUUAAAGUUUGUUGGGAGAAAUGGGCCGUUAGUUGAAGGAUGCACUUUAUUUGGACAGUUAAUAGAGAGGUCAGUCUUCUUUUUGGUCCCCUUCCAAUGAGUACUUUUACUAUUAUGAAUAACAACUAGUGAGAAUUAAUCAUUUAAUCUCUUUCUGAAGAACAUCAGCACCGUAAUGGCCGUAGCUGGAACAGUGUUACUUCUAAGAAGUGUUCGGAUGACAUCAAAAUUUACAAGUUCUUCAGAUAUUCCAGUAGAAUUUAUACGAAAGAAUGUUAAACUACGUGGACGAUUACGCCGAAUAACUGAGAAUGGCUUAGAAAUUGAGCAUAUUCCUAUUACUUUACCUAUCAUAUCUUCAUGGAAAAAAGAGCCCUGUGGUGUUUUGUUGGUUAAACUGGCAGGAGUAGAACUCACUGAAACUGGGAAGGUGUGGUUACAAAAAGAGUUAAAACCUUCCCAAUUGCUAUGGUUUCAACUUCUUGGAAAGGAGAAUUCGGUGCUCUUUUGCUAUCUUCUAGUGAAUAAGGGUAGGUAUUUUAGUGUGAGUCUGAAUGAAGAAAUUUUGAGAAGAGGCCUUGGCAAAACUGUUCUUGUUAAAGGGCUAGACUAUGAUUCUAAAAUCUAUUGGACAAUUCACAGAAACUUACUUAAAGCUGAAUUAACAGCCUUAAAAAAAAGAGAAGGAAUAUGGAAGGAAGAAUCUGAAGAAAGUUAUUUGGAAAAAUUCAAAGGCUCCUGGAGAGAAAUAUGGAAAAAAGACAGUUAUUUUAAAAAAAUUGGAUCAGAUUUCAAUUUGAAAAAAGAAAGUUAUUAUGAGAAAUUUAGAAGGACUUAUGACACAUGGAAAGACAACAUAAAUAACUACUCCUUUAUAUUGAAGUUCAGAGAACUUAUGAAUCGCAUACACUUUCGUAGAAAAGGGUGAACUAUUCCAAGGGGUCUGGAGGUGACCCACUCAGAAAAGAGUAAAAUAUGUAAAUAUGUAGAUGUUUUCAUUGAGUUGAAAUGGAAAUUUCUCUGAAUGAUCUAAGUUGCACUCUGAUGGUAUUUAAAUAUUUAAGAGAUGAUUGUUUUAAAUGUAAUAGAACAAUUUAAGCAAGUUGUAAUUAAUGUAAUAUGCUUUUAGGAAAAAUGAAAUACUCUAUAAAGUCACCAGGAUAAAGGAUAUAUACCUGUAGUGCUAAUAUUUGAAAAGAGAGUUUAACUGUUGGACACUGUUAUUUUCGGCAUCCAUAUUUAAUUUUUGUUGAAAGAAUAUUUGUUGACUUUUCCAGUUUUAUCAAUUUUGAUUACUUGUAUUGUGAUCUCUGUCAAAUAAA